ensembl:lncRNA
GGGAGAGGGGGAGGGGCCGGGGGAGGGCUUGGGGAGAGGAGUGAGAUAGGGGAAAGAGGCUAGGGGACAGGGGGAGAUAGGGGCUGUGGGAGGGAGGGAGAAGGGGAGAGAGGGGGACAGAGGCUAGGGGACAGGGGAGAUAGGGGCUGUGGGAGGGAGGGAGAAGGGGAGAGAGGCUAGGGGAAAGGGCUAGGGACAGGGGGAGAUAGGGGCUGUGGGAGGGAGGAGAAGGGGAGAGAGGCUAGGGGACAGAGGGAGAUAGGGACAGAGGCUAGGGGACAGGGGGAGAUAGGGACAGAGGCUAGGGGACAGGGGGAGAUAGGGGCUGUGGGAGGGGAGAUAGGGGCUGUGGGAGGGAGGAGGGGACAGAGGCUAGGGGACAGGGGGAGAUAGGGGCUGUGGGAGGGAGGGAGAUAGGGACAGAGGCUAGGGACAGGGGAGAUAGGGGCUGUGGGAGGGAGGGAGAUAGGGACAGAGGCUAGGGGACAGAGGCUAGGGGACAGGGGGAGAUAGGGGCUGUGGGAGGGAGGGAGAUAGGGACAGAGGCUAAGGGGAGAUAGGGGCUGUGGGAGGGAGGGAGAAGGGGAGAGAGGCUAGGGGACAGAGGGACAGAGGCUAGGGGACAGAGGGAGAUAGGGACAGAGGCUAGGGGACAGGGAGAUAGGGGCUGUGGGAGGGAGGGAGAUAGGGACAGAGGCUAGGGGACAGGGGAGAUAGGGGCUGUGGGAGGGAGGGAGAAGGGGAGAGAGGCUAGGGGACAGAGGGAGAUAGGGACAGAGGCUAGGGGACAGGGGGAGAUAGGGGCAGGGAGGGAGAAGGGGAGAGAGGCUAGGGGACAGAGGGAGAUAGGGACUGUGGGAGGGAGGGAGAAGGGGAGAGAGGCUAGGGGACAGAGGGACAGAGGCUAGGGGACAGAGGGAGAUAGGGACAGAGGCUAGGGGACAGGGGGAGAUAGGGGCUGUGGGAGGGAGGGAGAAGGGGAGAGAGGCUGUUAUAGAAAAGGAAAGGGAGUACAGUGAGAAUCUACAGUAGCGUUUUCCAAACUCGGUCCUGGCCCCGCCCCCCCCUGGGUGCAUGUUUUGGUUCUUGCCCUAGCACUACACAGAUUACUCAAAUAAUCUUCAAGCAUGAUUAUUUGAAUCAGCUGUGCAGUGCCAAAAGGUGUCCCCCUUGGGGUCCCCUGGACCUAGUUUGGGAAACACUGCUCUACAACAACAGAAGUGUGGAGAAUGACAUCACCAAUGACAUUAUUUCAUUUAUUUUUUCGUAUUAAAAACCCUAAUUUAAAAAUAAAAAAAAAUCUAUACUUCCUGUUGUAGAUCGCAGAUUCCAUGAGAGGGGAUUGGCUAACUGGACAAACCAACCAAUGAGAGACGGCCUUGGAAGGAUAAAGUAAAAAAAAAAAAAAAAACAUGAUGAGGAUCGCCCAGUCACUUCAGCCAUUGGUGUCUCAGAAGUUUGGUCGCUUGUUAAAAUGUCCAGUCCCUCUUUGACCACAACCCCAAUUGAAAAACCCCACUGUACAAACAUCUUUGUAAACAACACAAGGGUUGCCUCCAAAAUUGCACCCUAAUUCCUUAUAUAGUGUACUACUUUUGACCAGGGCCCAUAGGGAAACCAAGAGGGAAACCAGUAGGGAAACCAGUAGGGAAACCAAUAGGGAUAGGAACCAAUAGGGAAACCAGUAGGGAAACCAAUAGAAAAACCAACAGGGAAACCAACAGGAAACCAAUAGGGAAACCAAUAGGGAAACCAAUAGGGAAACCAAUAGGAAACCAAUAGGGAAACCCACAGGGAAACCAUUGGGCUCUGGUCAAAUAUAAUACACUUGGGUGCCAUUUCAGACGCAAGAAAACCCAGGCAAGACAUAGAAAGAUGAUUGGAUCAUAGAUAGAUUCUCCAGAAAGAAAGAUGAUUGGAUCAUAGAUAGAUUCUCCAGAAAGAAAAAAAAAAAAACCCUAUUUGAAGGCAACAUCAUCAGGCUAAAAGACAAUAUGAUCAUUACUGAAAAAACAUGAUACUUUUUUUUCUCUUUUUACACAUAUAAUCAUCACUGUUGUAUCCACAGGUUUACUUCUCAAAUAAAACUCACAUAUAAUAAUAACUGGUUGUAGCCACAGGUUUACUCCUCAAAAUAAAACUCAUAUCAAUAGCUGUCGCAGUAUAGCAUCUCUCAGUAGAGACAAAACUAGUCAUUUAAAAAAAAGACAGAAGAAGACAGAGAAAUGAUGUUGAAUGAUCGAAGGAAAAUAAAAAAAGUUAGAAAAUAAACCCCAGGAGCAAGUUAUCUGUAUGAACUGAACUAUAUAGGGUGCCUCUUUGGGACUUUGUCUUUUUCUCUCUGGCUAAUAUAGAGGUGCUUAUAAAUACCGCAUCACCGUGGCAACGUGCACAUUCUGGUUAGACAUCCGUUUCUACGGCUACUGUCUCCGUUAGCAAUAACACUGUGUGUAGGAAUCGGGAUUUUAUUUUGGUUCAUAUUGACUGAUUUACCUAUUUCAUUUUACUUUAUUUUAUGAACGUAAUCUUUCCAUUUCAGUUGCAUACAGUUGGAAUAUCUAUAUUUCUAAGUAGAAAUCUUGUUCUCGUGACACUGGAGAGUGAUAAUGGUUAAUCUGUGUGUAAAAACUGAUGUAUUGUAGCUUUGAAUCCGUUGGUCGGUUUGUUUGUUGGUUGUUAAAGGGGCGUCACCACACAGGAAAGUCCAUUCCAUGUUAGGUUUUAGUAACGUCGGAAUGCUGGCACUGCUGAGAGAGACAGCAGCAAAUCAGACCUGAGAGAGAGAGAGAGAGAGAGAGAGAGAGGAAGGUGGGUAGAGAGA